GAUGAACGCCGGCGGUGUGCCUAAUACAUGCAAGUCGUACGCACUGGCCCAACUGAUUGAUGGUGCUUGCACCUGAUUGACGAUGGAUCACCAGUGAGUGGCGGACGGGUGAGUAACACGUAGGUAACCUGCCCCGGAGCGGGGGAUAACAUUUGGAAACAGAUGCUAAUACCGCAUAACAACAAAAGCCGCAUGGUUUUUGUUUGAAAGAUGGCUUUGGCUAUCACUCUGGGAUGGACCUGCGGUGCAUUAGCUAGUUGGUAAGGUAACGGCUUACCAAGGCGAUGAUGCAUAGCCGAGUUGAGAGGUUGAACGGCCACAUUGGGACUGAGACACGGCCCAG
rnacentral:rRNA from 1 species